rnacentral:lncRNA from 1 species
UAGAGAUGGUUAGUUUAUCUCCUUUGAUGCAAGGCUUCGGAAGUUGACUCAACGGGAUGUCACAUACAUUAACGCAAGGUUUAAGUUAGUUUAUCUCCAUGGGAUGAUUGAAGUUGACAUGCUUAAAGAGGAAAGAUGUCGAAGAACGGGGGUCAUGAAAGUUAGAUGGAAAGUUAAAUGAUAGGUAAGAUUCACGAUGACACAACAUCGCUUGUAAACAUUUUUUGUAUAUAUAUUUUUAUCAACAAAAAAUUGAAUCUAUAAAUUAUAAUUUUGUAAU